UACGUAGGGUGCAAGCGUUGUCCGGAUUUAUUGGGCGGAAAGAGCGUGUAGGCGGCCAAACAGGUCAGCUGUGAAAACUCGAGGCUCAACCUCGAGACGUCGGUUGAAACCGUUUGGCUAGAGUCCGGAAGAGGAGAGUGGAAUUCCCGGUGUAGCGGUGAAAUGCGCAGAUAUCGGGAAGAACACCCGUGGCGAAGGCGGCUCUCUGGGACGGUACUGACGCUGAGACGCGAAAGCGUGGGGAGCGAACAGG
rnacentral:rRNA from 1 species